AUCUCUUCGGGGACAUUCGAUAAAAUUGGAAUGACACAAAGAAGAUCAGCAUGGCCGCAGGCAAGGAUGAUACGCACAAAAAAAAAAGUAACCGUGCUUUA